rnacentral:rRNA from 1 species
GGAAUUUUCCGCAAUGGGCGAAAGCCUGACGGAGCAAUCUCGCGUGAGGGAUGACGGCCUAUGGGUUGUAAACCUCUUUUUUCAGGGAGGAAUAACUGACGUGUACCUGAAGAAUAAGCAUCGGCUAACUCCGUGCCGGCAGCCGCGGUAAGACGGAGGAUGCAAGUGUUAUCCGGAAUCACUGGGCGUAAAGCGUCUGUAGGUGGCUUAAUAAGUCAACUGUUAAAUCUUGAAGCUCAACUUCAAAAUCGCAGUCGAAACUAUUAGACUAGAGUAUAGUAGGGGUAAAGGGAAUUUCCAGUGGAGCGGUGCAAUGCGUAGAGAUUGGAAAGAACACCGAUGGCGAAGGCACUUUACUGGGCUAUUACUAACACUCAGAGACGAAAGCUAGGGUAGCAAAUGGGAUUAGAUACCCCUGUAGUC